rnacentral:lncRNA from 1 species
CUGAUGCCAAGCGCAUGGCUGACCUGGCAGGCUUUCCCUGCCUGCAGGUCAGUGGUGCCUACUCGGACCACUGCUGCCCACACCCUGGAUGAUGCCAAAGCAGACGCUCUGCCCAUCUGUCACUAGGAGCCGCCGCUGGCCUCCAACUACCCUUCCCUAAAACCUCAGCUUGGAGUAAACACCAGAUGUCAAGCUGUGUUUAACAAGCAGUUUGCAGAGUUCCUGAGGAUUUAACAAUCAGCCCUUGAGAGCCAGAGCAAGCUGGCUCCAGCACACCAUUGCCUAAAAGCCCCCUAGGGAGGCAGGAAAAAGGGUAGCAACAGCAUUGAUCUUGAACCCCAAAAGGCUUCAGACAUCAGACAUGGCUCACUUCAGAUUAGACGUCCCCUCCCAGAUCCCGGCUCACAGUCUUGUUUCUGCCCUUCCAUUUUAAGAUCGAGGUCUGUGGUCUCCCCUCCACAGAACACAAAGCCUCUGAUGCUUGAGGCAGCACGGCCUCUGGAAGGAGAUGGGGCUGGAUGCCCUCUGCCUCUUUCGAGACACCAAAGGAUUCUUGCAGGGUUGGAACUGCAGUUUUCAGCCUACAGCUUUGCUCUGAUGUUUACACACACUGAAAGUGUGAAACAUACGGCAAGAGAGAGAAAGAACGUGGGGGAAGAGGUCACUGCAGCUUCUCUACAAAGCACUGACUCAAGUGAUUCAGAGUAAAACUAGUACCUUGGAACCAAAUAAUUAAAAGCCUUCCAAAAACAAAGACCCUGAUUAAACCUGAUAAGUAAAGUUUGGUCAUGAAAAUCCUUAUUGGGGUCUGUAUGAAUCAUUUCACUUCUCAGGAGUUUCUGUCUAGUUGUGUAAAGACAAGCUUUCCAAAUGGUACUGCUGGGCCCAAAUGCUUCCAACCCUCCCUUCUAUGGCUAGCCUGGUAGCCUGGGGCUAAUGGCUAAACAAGAAUACGUGAAAGCGGGUCUUUGAGAAACCAUGCCAAAACCUAAAUAUAAGAAAAUAAAAUAAACAUUUAAAAAAUAAAUAAAAAUCCUUUCAAUGUAGUACUUCAGAAUCUAAUUUCC